CCCUGGCUCAGGAUGAACGCUGGCGGCGUGCUUAACACAUGCAAGUCGAACGAUGACCCGGUGCUUGCACCGGGGAUUAGUGGCGAACGGGUGAGUAACACGUGAGUAACCUGCCCUUAACUCUGGGAUAAGCCUGGGAAACUGGGUCUAAUACCGGAUAUGACUCCUCAUCGCAUGGUGGGGGGUGGAAAGCUUUAUUGUGGUUUUGGAUGGACUCGCGGCCUAUCAGCUUGUUGGUGAGGUAAUGGCUCACCAAGGCGACGACGGGUAGCCGGCCUGAGAGGGUGACCGGCCACACUGGGACUGAGACACGGCCCAGACUCCUACGGGAGGCAGCAGUGGGGAAUAUUGCACAAUGGGCGAAAGCCUGAUGCAGCGACGCCGCGUGAGGGAUGACGGCCUUCGGGUUGUAAACCUCUUUCAGUAGGGAAGAAGCGAAAGUGACGGUACCUGCAGAAGAAGCGCCGGCUAACUA
rnacentral:rRNA from 1 species